UGUAAAUCUAAUUAGUUGUGUAUCAGAUUGUUUGUGUAGUUUGUUUGGAACUUGAUCUGUGCAGAGUGGUGACUAGGUCAGUGGUCUUCUGGGAUGGUGUCCGAGUUUGGGAGACGCCUCGAGCUCGACAAGCCAUUGAAGAAGUGAGGCUUAGUGCGUCCCCCACAGCACCGCGAUCAGUUUAGACGUCCUGAAGACGAUCGAGGAGAACUUCGAGAUGGAAGAAUGGGUGAAACCUGCCGACAGCUCGCGCCCACUCGAGACAAAAC